rnacentral:lncRNA from 1 species
UGCCUUCAACAAAGAUUUUUCUUCAUAGAAGAAGAAGAAGAGGAACCUCCCUUUGAAUAUAAGAAGGGGUAUCGCAUUUCAACUCUCUAUUCGAGAAAGAGGAGAUCAAGACCCGAUUCCUGAAAAGUAGAAUAUCUGAUCCUUGACUUCUAUGAAAGGGGAGGUUGGUGUUAUCCAUUUCACCUAUAGGAAAACAGAUGCUAGCUGCUAAAAGGGCUCUUUUAGAAUUUGUCUUUCAUGCAUCUUGUAACUCUUCAAAUGAAAAAGUAGAUGCAACGGAAUAAAACCUCAUCCUCCUCUUGGAGGUCAUCUUCUUUAGCCAUGAGGCAAAGGUUUGCUACUUCAUCCAUGCUUUCUUUAGCAUUGGAGCUUGAUUCAUCACUAUCAUCUUUUGUAGAAGCUUUGAGAGCCCCUGUUCUUCUUGUAUCAUCCUCUUCUUCUCCAUUCUUCAUGGUAAGCUCAUGGGUCAUUAGAGAACCCAAGAGUUCUUCUAGAGGUAGUCUUGUGAGGUCUUUGGCUUCUUGAAUGGCGGUGACCUUAGCUUCCCCUGAUCUAGGAAGCGCUCCCCCUCACUAGCUCACUGUUGGAGUCAGAUUUGCCAAGAGAUUUCAAGGCAUUGAUGAUAACGGUGAAGCGAGUGAACAUUUGUGUGAUUGAUUCAUCACCCCUGAGGCUAAGCUUAAACCUU